AGCUCUGAGGUGUAAUUACAUAUUAGAUUGCAAAUCUAAAGAAGCAGGCUAAUACCCUGCCGGGGCUU
rnacentral:tRNA from 1 species